UGGGGAAUAUUGGACAAUGGGGGCAACCCUGAUCCAGCCAUGCCGCGUGCGUGAAGAAGGCCUUAGGGUUGUAAAGCGCUUUCAGCGGGGACGAUGAUGACGGUACCCGCAGAAGAAGCCCCGGCUAACUCCGUGCCAGCAGCCGCGGUAAUACGGAGGGGGCAAGCGUUGUUCGGAAUUACUGGGCGUAAAGCGCGCGUAGGCGGAUUGGAAAGUUGGGGGUGAAAUCCCGGGGCUCAACCCCGGAACUGCCUCCAAAACUAUCAGUCUAGAGUUCGAGAGAGGUGAGUGGAAUUCCAAGUGUAGAGGUGAAAUUCGUAGAUAUUUGGAGGAACACCAGUGGCGAAGGCGGCUCACUGGCUCGAUACUGACGCUGAGGUGCGAAAGUGUGGGGAGCAAACAGGAUUAGAUACCCCCGUAGUCC
rnacentral:rRNA from 1 species